GAACAAUCUUCCACAAAUUUUGGUUCCUAAUGAAUCAUUUGUAGGAUAUAAAUUAAUUUUUGCAUCUCCUUUUGGUGGAGAUGUAGAAUUCAUUUCCUGCUGGAAAGGCUACUGGAAUAAUAAUGCACAGGUGGCUUGAGACCUAGCAUAAAUAUAUUAUGCCUUGGUAUGUCUCAUCUAUUAUGUAAAUAUGCAGUAUGCUCUGCACAGAAGGAGUGGAGUGAUGCUGAAGUGGGGUCGCACGCUUUCUGGCAGAGGUUUGUGAUGGUGUCCAACCAUGCAAAUCAAGCAUUGUGACCGUAGGAACUAUGGCUUCCAAACGGAUGUGCUCCCAAGGGAGGUUAGGAUACAAGCCUGGUCUCCUCAUUUUGUUUUCAUGGCAAAUGACCCAUUUACCAUUUACAGUCCCUGGAGGUUUUCAAGAAAAGGGUCGAUGUGGCACUGAGGAAAAUGGAAGUACUGCAGUGGUUUUACAGAAGAAGAAACAACCCAAGCAAACAGAACAGCUCUGCAGCCCUAAGCCUGACAUCUGGUAUAAUCGAAGCUGCUGAAACUCAGAGCAGAGCCCCAGCAGGAUCACUUCCCCUUGUCAAGACCCUCUAUGAGAAUUAAAUGCAAAUGGGAUUUGAUUUUGCUUGUGGCCUUAUCUUUUGUGUAAGGGCAUUAAACAUCCCCUUUGGGCUUUCAGCUCUGUCCACCACCUACUCCACCGCCUUCCUCCCCCCUGUGGAGUGGGCACAACAGAGCUCCACGAAUGCACAUCAGCACUGCUCCUGACAUGCAGCACUGCAUCCCAAAUUCGUGGAAAACAGCUACGUGCAGAAUGUAAACCAGCCCUGGCCAUGGUCAGCCCUGAGGUCCUGAUCUCUCAAUCAUUUGUAUCAGUAUGUUGUCUAAACCAUGUCCGUACAAACUGAUUUUCCUCCCAUUGAAGCCUGCUCAUGGGAGGGUGAUUCAUAGCCCUUUGUAUUUCAUCCUGCUGCCAGGUUGGGAUGCAGAAAGGUCCAUGGGUUUUGCUGCUCACAGCCUGUGGAGCUUCCCAAUGACUGAUGGCUCUCGGGUCAGGC
rnacentral:lncRNA from 1 species